rnacentral:rRNA from 1 species
UACGAGGGGUCCUAGCGUUGUUCGGAAUCAUUGGGCGUAAAGCGUCUGUAGGCGGCUUUGUAAGUCGGGUGUGAAAGCCCCACGCUCAACGUGGGAAGGUCCGGCGAGACGGGUGGACUGGAGGCAGGGAGAGGUCGGUGGAAUUCCGGGUGUAGUGGUGAAAUGCGUAGAGAUCCGGAGGAACACCAGAGGCGAAGGCGGCCGACUGGACCUGACCUGACGCUGAGGCGCGAAGGCGUGGGGAGCGAACGGGAUUAGAAUCACCCGUA